GAGGGACUUUGGACCAGGGUUGC
rnacentral:piRNA from 1 species